GCCUCUUAACAAACAUAUUUUAAUUUUUGUAUCAUUUAUUUUUAUAUCUUAUUUUUAAAAAAAAUCAAAUAUAUAUUUAUUAACAAUGAGAGUAUAGGAGCUAUAGGGUGGAAACAAUAAACUCUAAUGAGAGUAGGGUUUCACAUGUAUCAGAUUUUGAGAAUUUUGUCUGUACUUAUUUUUGGUACAUGAUGGAGGUGAUGCCUAGAAGAAGUCCAGUGAAACUCUACUCCGAAUGCAUCGAUAGCCAAAAUCCUCCUUAGGGCUAUUGGAAUAGAUGUUGAGUAUCCAAGAGAGCAUCUCUCUCCAAUGCCUGUCUAACGAUCCAAUCCGCCGCUUGAUUUCCCUCCUGAUAUAUAUAUGGGCAGCCUUGAACAUGAAGAUGGCUUGCUUCCACUAGAGAUGUCCUUCAAUAGUGGAUUUCCAGCAUUCCUACACGUAGAAUGGGAGUUAAUCCAAGAUAUUACCAUGGUAACCUGUUGCACCCUGAAAUGGAGAAUUGCAUUGCUAAUUAGGGUAUACUCAGGCAGCCAGCAACUCGGCAUAUGGCA
rnacentral:lncRNA from 1 species